UGGGAAGAUGCUCUGCAAAGGGCCAG
rnacentral:piRNA from 1 species